UUCCCCUAGUAACGGCGAGUGAAGCGGGAAGAGCUCAAAUUUGAAAGCUGUUGCCUUUGGUAACCGCAUUGUAAUCUCGAGAUCUGUUUUCCGCGCUGGACCAUGUACAAGUCCCUUGGAAUAGGGCGUCAUAGAGGGUGAGAAUCCCGUACUUGACAUGGCCUCCCAGUGCUUUGUGAUACAGGCUCAACGAGUCGAGUUGUUUGGGAAUGCAGCUCAAAAUGGGUGGUAAAUUCCAUCUAAAGCUAAAUAUUGGGGAGAGACCGAUAGCGAACAAGUACCGUGAGGGAAAGAUGAAAAGCACUUUGGAAAGAGAGUUAAACAGUACGUGAAAUUGUCAAAAGGGAACCGUUUAAAGUUAGUCAUGCUUGCCUGGACUCAGCCUUGCUUUUGCUUGGUGCAUUUCCAGGUUAGCAGGUCAGCAUCGGUUUUGACUGCUGGAUAAGGGUGAGAGGAAUGUGGCACCCUCGGGUGUGUUAUAGCCUUUCACUGGAUGCAGCAGUUGGGACCGAGGAAGCGCAGCGCGCCUCUAUGGCGGA
rnacentral:rRNA from 1 species